AAUGAACGCUGGCGGCGUGCCUAACACAUGCAAGUCGAGCGAGAAAUCCCGGGUUCGCCUGGGAGAGUACAGCGGCGCACGGGUGAGUAACGCGUGGGUAACCUGCCCUCGAGUGGGGGAUAACCUUCCGAAAGGAGGACUAAUCCCGCAUACGUCAUCAGGACACAAGUCCUGAUGGGGAAAGAUGGCCUCUGUUUACAAGCUAUCGCUCUUGGAUGGGCCCGCGUUGGAUUAGCUAGUUGGUGAGGUAACGGCUCACCAAGGCCGCGAUCCAUAACUGGUUUGAGAGGACGACCAGUCACACUGGAACUGAGACACGGUCCAGACUCCUACGGGAGGCAGCAGUGGGGAAUUUUGGACAAUGGGCGCAAGCCUGAUCCAGCCAUUCCGCGUGCAGGAUGAAGGCCUUCGGGUUGUAAACUGCUUUUGUACGGUAACGAAACGGCGAGCUCUAACUACAGUUUGCUAACUGACGUACCGUAAGAAUAAGCACCGGCUAACGUACGUGACCG
rnacentral:rRNA from 1 species